CACGUAGGGUGCGAGCGUUGUCCGGAAUUAUUGGGCGUAAAGAGCUCGUAGGCGGUGUGUCGCGUCGGCCCGUGAAAACCUGCAGCUUAACUGUGGGCUUGCGGUCGAUACGGGCAUCACUGGAGUUCGGCAGGGGAGACUGGAAUUCCUGGUGUAGCGGUGAAAUGCGCAGAUAUCAGGAGGGAACACCCGGUGGGCGAAGGCGGGUCUCUGGGC
rnacentral:rRNA from 1 species